GGAAGGAUCAUUACAGAAUUGUCAACGGGUUGUUGCUGGUCCUCGAACGGGGACAUGUGCACGCUCUGUUUACACAUCCACUCACACCUGUGCACCCUCUGUAGUUCUGUGGUCUGGGGGACCCUGUCUUCCUGCCGUGGUUCUACGUCUUUACACACACACUGUAAUAAAGUCUUAUGGAAUGUAUGCCGCGUCUAACGCAAUACAAUACAACUUUCAGCAACGGAUCUCUUGGCUCUCGCAUCGAUGAAGAACGCAGCGAAAUGCGAUAAGUAAUGUGAAUUGCAGAAUUCAGUGAAUCAUCGAAUCUUUGAACGCACCUUGCGCCCCUUGGCUAUUCUGAGGGGCAUGCCUGUUUGAGUAUCAUGAACACCUCAACUCUCAUGGUUCGCCGUGAUGAGCUUGGACUCUGGGGGUUUUGCUGGCCUGCGGUCGGCUCCCCUCAAAUAAAUCAGCCUCCCAGUGUUUGGUGGCAUCACGGGUGUGAUAAAUAUCUACGCUC
rnacentral:sRNA from 1 species